CCUCGCUUGGUGCAUCGCUUGAAAACCGACGGUCAGCCUGCAGUGUAUGCCGCCGGCGUGCUUUCUUGCCAGAGAGAGACACAGUGGAUCCCUCAUCCUUGGCAUCCCUGCCUUCCCUCGGCAUUCGAGACAUCCCGGCAGCCGCGAGGGAGUACAGCCUGGCUCUGGUGGCACUUCCGAAUGAUCCCGAGCAGGCACAGGAUGCCGUGCAGGCAUUCCAGGACGAAGUGUCAGGUGAGCCACAGCUGCAGCUCAACGUGGAGUACCGCGUGGGUGGCCAGGAGUUUGUCACGCUGCUCACCCCGUCGGGCACCGACAUUGGCAAGACCCUGCUGCAGGAGGGCUGGGUGUUGCUGGAGGAGCGCCGUGACCGGCACCUCCAGGAGUUGCUUCAGGACUACGUGGCCGCCAGGGACUCGGCUAAGGCCAAGCGGCUGAACCUCUGGUGCUACGGCGACGUAACGGAGGACGACUCCAAGGAGUUUGGCUGGGGCCGUUGAGGAGGACCUGUCGCCGCAAAGUCAACUUCUGCCUCGCACACCUGUGGUGUGGGGGAGGAGG